UUGUUUGUUGUUGGGGUGUGAGAGAGAGAAGGUUCGAGAUCACCUGGCCCGGUGGGCACGGCUCCGGAGCGGGAGCUGGGCCGGGUGGGCUGGCUUGGGCAGGGGCCCGCCACAAGGGUGAAGGACUCCCCUCGCCCACCCCCAGCCCCGGCUCCGAGCCCGCGGCCCGGCCGCCCCCUCGCCGCGCCCCCGCCGGGCUCUCCGGCCCGCGUCGGGUGCCAGGACGCCCCAGGCAGAGGGCCUGCCUUAGGGUUACCACGGGGAGCCAGGCUUUCCUGCUCUCCAGGAUCCUGCAGUCGGAGGCUGGGAUGGGCAGGGGCUAGAGAGACAAGUAGACAGAAAACAGAGUGAUAACUUUAUGACAGCAACACGUAAUGGCUGCUGAGGAGGAAGGAGGGCUGCCAGGGUCUGCCCCUGGCGAGGGGCUGGGUUGAGGUGCGGGGACGUUCCAAGAAGGGGCUAAGCCGAGAGCGGAGCCUGAAGGAGCAGGCACUCUUCGGGCAGGCUGCCAUAGGUGGGGGAAAGAUGAGGACACCCUAAGCGCGAGUACCAGUUUCAGCAAAGGUGCAGAGCUGUGGUAUAGGGGUGAGGCAGCAGAUGAGGCCGGAGAGGUGGGUAGGGCUACCUAAGCUUUGUAAACCCUGCCAAGGAGCUCUGUCCCAAAGGCGUUGGAGAACAUAGAAGGAUUUUGAGGAAAGGACGCUUCUGGUCUGAGAUCCGAGAGGCGAGUUGGGAGAGCAGCACGGGGGGUGUGAGUUCAGGCAGGAGGAUCUUGCAUCUCAGUUCCCUCGCAGUGCUCACCUGUUCCAGGGACUUCUGACCUUGGGUCUCGCCCUCCCUCCCAGACUCCUCCAGAAUCCUCAUUCUCAGAGUCCAAGCCUGACUUCCUGGAAAGGUCUCCCGAAGCUCAGGUGAAACUCUCCUGAAGCUCAAGUCCACCUUGUUCUCUGCUGCCCUGAACUCCACGGACUCCAAGCUGUCUCCUCCUCACACAUUCCUGACCAUCUGCUGUUUUGCCUACAUACAGACCCCUGGGAAGAUGAGGAAAUCCAGAUCUGGAAUGGACAGUGUAUUGAGAACCUCCAAAGCCAGCAGGAGGUCCAGAGGGGGCAGGUGUCUUACAGAAGACAUGAACAGGCACUCAACAUACGUUUCUUUAUUUAACCCUCAAAAACUCUGGAACAUCAGAUACACUUCAGCCAACUUCCAGCUACAAGCAAACUCAGUGUUCUCCCAAUGUUUCCACUGUGGGGUAAAGGCACUGGCAGUUUUAAAAGUCAAGAACCUUGGACUCAUCCUUGGCACCUCCCUCUCCCUCCCGAGCCGCCACCCAUAGCUAAUCCAUCACCACAGCCUGUCAUUUACUGGAGCCUCCAGCCUCGAAUCUCCUCCCACCUCUGUGACCAACCACAGCCCGGCCUCCCGCAUCCACUCUGCCCCAGUCAGAGGGCUCUCAGUCAGAGGGAUCUUUCCAAAAUAGACUGCAUCAUAGCACUCUGCUGCUUAAACCCUUCCGUGACUCCUGUUUACACUCAGGAUAAAGAUCCAAAUCUGGAACUGACUGUUGUUGCCGCCCCAGCCAGGAGGCUCUCUGAUCUCAUCUCUCAGGCUCAGUCACACUCCGCAACCUGCGAUGCUUUCUUCCUGGCAAGCCUGGCAAGCCGGUGAUUCCUGGCUAAGACCUGCCUCCCCGGCUAGGCUAGGGUGAAAACCACAUCUGCGUCUGCCUGGGUCCUACUGUUUCCCCAUGGCCCACAGGGUACCUGCACAUGAUAGGUUCUCGGUAAUAGCUACUCAGUGAUGAAUGAAUGGCAGAGAAAUCAAGCCUUUGCCUGUGCCGCAGCAGCUCUGCAGCCUGACUGCUCUGCCAGGUGGCCACAGUGCUAGACUGCCAUAUUAGCUUAGAAAACUACCUCCUGCAGCCACACUGUGUGCCAGGCUCUGCCUCCCUACCUUUAAACACACUCAUCCUGACCCAGUUUGCCUGUUUUCAGGAGUGAUCACCAACAUUUGUACUUUUUGUGACUUGUACAUAUUUUUACUAUAAGAUUUCCUGACCCGAUUCAUUCAACAACUGGAUAACAAUUGGUUAUGGGUUUGACAAGGCAGACUCAUUGAAAUUUGGAGGCAUAAACAGUUCUGGCUUUGGCAGUCCAGAUGGCUUCCCCAAGAAGCUAGAGGCUGUGGCCCCAGAACUCUGCUCUUUUAGCUGCUGCUAAAAAGAUGGGAGAAUUUAGUUCAAGGCAAAGCCUUGCGAUUCCCCCCUGCCCACUCCUGCCCUCCCUGCUCCAAGGCCGCCCUUGAUGUUUUAUUUAAAUCUGAUUUCAUCUAGAUAAGCUUGGUGGAGGGCAAAGGAAAGAAGUCAUCCUCCCUGCAGCCUGCCCCCCCCAACCCCCGCCGCUUUGCAUUCAUUAUGCAAGUAUUUGUUUGGAGGGAGAGGGGCUCCACUGAGCCACGUGCAAAGUGUUGGGGAUACAGCAGCAAACCAGAGACAGGUGGGUAUGUAGUGGGUUAGUGCCAUGCUGGGUCUUAAAGAAUGGGUAACAUUAAAAUUGGAGUAAUUGA